rnacentral:rRNA from 1 species
CCUACGGGUGGCAGCAGUGAGGAAUAUUGGUCAAUGGACGAGAGUCUGAACCAGCCAAGUAGCGUGAAGGAUGACUGCCCUAUGGGUUGUAAACUUCUUUUAUAAAGGAAUAAAACGAGGCACGUGUGCCUUUUUGCAUGUACCUUAUGAAUAAGGAUCGGCUAACUCCGUGCCAGCAGCCGCGGUCAUACGGGGGAUCCGAGCGUUAUCCGGAUUUAUUGGGUUUAAAGGGAGCGGAGAUGGGUUGUUAAGUCAGUUGGGAAAGUUUGCGGCUCAACCGUAAAAUUGCAAUGGAUACUGGCAGUCUUGAGUACAGUUGAGGUAGGCGGAAUUCGUGGUGUAGCGGUGAAAUGCUUAGAUAUCACGAAGAACCCCGAUUGCGAAGGCAGCUUACUAAACUGUGACUGACAUUGAUGCUCGAAAGUGUGGGUAUCAAACAGGAUUAGAUACCCUAGUAGUC